UUGUAACCCGAGAUGCUGGUGCCACACCUUAUUACGUGACCACCCAGUGAGGCGUGAACACUCAGGGGCAUGAUAUACACCCUUGUGUUAGAUUUGAUAUACCAAUCAGCCGUGGACGCCCGACCAUAAAAAUGGUAUAUAUAGAUUUAACCCUAAUCAGGUAUCGUUAAAUAUCGUUAAAUCGUCGAGAACGUUCUGUCAGACGAUCAAACGAUAACUAUUCAACAAGUCGGUAAAUCACAUCGAAAACCCAAGUUCUGGUCGCAGUGAGAAGCUCUGGAUACCUUGAGGAGGGUUCACCAGCUCUGCUUCAACAACGUUGACAUGGGUAAGGCAUUUUAUUCUAUUUUUGUACACCAAACACUGUAUAUAUCUUGAAGAACCUUUGCCUUCUGUUUGGAUCAUGGUUUCUUUAUGAACAUAUUCACUGAACAUGUUGCUACCCUAUUACAGAUCUUACCAACGUCAUCAAUAGUCAAGGCAGACAUCUUUCUUCAAGAAAUCUGCCCAAAAGGAAAAACACUGAAAUUGGACCAGUAAAGCUGCAAGACUUUGUCGGCCAGUCAAAAGUGGACGCUGCAAUCCAAGGUGAAACUUUCUUUCUCAUGGUGGGGCACACGCAUGAAGAUUUGGAUCAACUGUUAAGUGUUUAGUGCAAGGGAACUUAGACAGAAGCCUGCAACAACCCGCGAUGCCCUCCUUCAAGAUUGGGGACAUCCGGACACCCACCACCAAGCUAUCAGACUUCAAGUCCUUCAUGCCUGCCCCAAGGGAAGCGACAACCCUCCCAACUAAAGUUCAAGAGGCAAUAGAGAAGAACAAUGAUAAACUGCAAAAACAAUCAAAGAUCACUCUGACAAAGCACUGAAGACAAGCGUCAGUAUCAGAACAAUAAAGAAGGAGCAGCAAGUUUUGCUGAAAUGAACAUAUUUUUUGUCUAAGCUAUGUGGCUGAGAUAUUGCCGAGGAUUGCAUUGCAGGAGUUUUGUAGUUUGUAUGUUUUUGUUUCUUAGUAAAGCUGUGUAUUUAGAAUUGUAUAUAUAUAUAAGAUAUAUAUAAGAUGAGAUGUGCACAAUGAAAUUUAUGAAACAAUAUAUGCAGUUAUAUUGUAAAAUCUUGGUUGUGUUCUAUUUUUUUCCAUAUCUGAAGUUAACCUACUUUCAGAGUACCGUAUAUCACAUGUAGGUUGUUUCUUUGAAUUCCAACUGGGGAUUAUAUAUUUGG
rnacentral:lncRNA from 1 species